UACGGGGGGGGCAAGCGUUGUUCGGAAUUACUGGGCGUAAGGGGCUCGUAGGCGGCCAACUAAGUCAGACGUGAAAUCCCUAGGCUCAACCUAGGAACUGCGUCUGAUACUGGAUGGCUUGAAUCCGGGAGAGGGAUGCAGAAUUCCAGGUGUAGCGGUGAAAUGCGUAGAUAUCUGGAGGAAUACCGGUGGCGAAGGCGGCAUCCUGGACCGGCAUUGACGCUGAGGAGCGAAAGCUAGGGGAGCAAACGGG
rnacentral:rRNA from 1 species